AGCCUGAUUGAUUUGCAUACACCCGUUCUCCAGUUUGGGAAUUGGAAAGCUACGCGUGUUUAUUUUCUUGCUUUUUAGUCCCGAUUCAUCUCUCUCUCUCUCUCUCAAAUUCUAUUUUUUUAAUUACUGUUUUGCAUUGUACGAGGGAUGAUGAUUCAGAGGAGUUAGAGAAAAGCAAUGUAUUGUUGAUGGGUCCAACUGGCUCAGGUUCUCAAAGAAAGGAUUUCUUGGCUGGAAGCAACUAAUGAAGAUCUUUGUAGGGAGCUUCAUGAAUACUGCAGCAAAUGUCCUCUGCUUGAGCAGUCUGGAGUAGAUACCCAGGAAGGUGGUCCCUGUUUUGUUAAAGCUGAAGGUCUAAAGAGGGGCCUGCAGAAUAUGGACUCAUCUGAUUAUCAAAUGGGUGGAACCAUCACUUGUAUGUGCUUGAUCCAUUUCUAAAACCACUAUUUUCAUCAUUUGAAGUUUGGUAAAACCAUUGAUGCAACUGAAAAUAGGAAAGACAGUUUUAAUCUAUGUUGAUUUUAGUUGCCUUGCCUACUUACUAGUCAUUACUAGUUUAUUCCCAUGUUGAGAAAAAAAAACUCAUUAUUGA